rnacentral:rRNA from 1 species
AGUGAACGCUGGCGGUAGGCCUAACACAUGCAAGUCGAACGGCAGCACAGUAAGAGCUUGCUCUUACGGGUGGCGAGUGGCGGACGGGUGAGGAAUACAUCGGAAUCUACUUUUUCGUGGGGGAUAACGGAGGGCAACUUACGCUAAUACCGCAUACGACCUACGGGUUAAAGCAGGGGAUCUUCGGAGCUUGCGCGAUUGAAUUAGCCGAUUUCGGAUUAGCUAGUUGGCGGGGUAAAGGCCCACCAAGGCAACGAUCCGUAGCUGGCCUGAGAGGAUGAUCAGCCACACUGGAACUGAGACACGGUCCAGACUCCUACGGGAGGCAGCAGUGGGGAAUAUUCGACAAUGGGCGCAAGCCUGACGCAGCCACGCCGCGUGGGUGAAGAAGGUCUUCGGGUCGUAAAGCUCUUUUGUUGGGGAAGAAAAACUGUGUAUGUAACCACCCCCGUUUUGACGGUACCUAAUCAGAAAGCCCCGGCUAACUUCGUG